CCAGGCUCAGAAGGGAACCCAUCCUCAUUUGGGUGACACUGGACAGGAAAUGAUGUAAAUGUCUGUUAGCACUUCAUGGUUUUGGAGAUUCGCAACUGAGAGACAAUGCUAAGGGUCAGGGUCUCUUCCAGGACACAGCUCAGAACACUCCCAUCAGCCUAUCACAUGUCUGUGGACUGAGAGAGGGAACCCGAAGUACCAGGAGGAAACCUCAGAAGCAUGUGGAGAACAUGUUUACUCAACACACACAGAGCACAGGCAUUAAUCGAAUCUCCACCCCCAGAGGUGUGAGACAAACAUGUAAAGCCAAUGUGUACUGUUACUUAAUUAUCUCAAUUAUUACUUAUCUAAACUACUCAAAUAAAGAGUUACCUAAUAAAUAAGUACCUACUGUACAUAUAAGAGGUGUUUGCAAAUGGCAUCCAUUUAAACCUUGAAGCACUGUCACUGCAUUACACUAACAUUCCUUGAAAUAACACAAUUAAAAGCAUUAACAUACCAUAAAAUUAACAAAGAAAAUAACACUUAUGUAUUCUUAUCUUGCCUUUUUUUUUUUUAUAAUAAAUCAAAAAGCCCAAUAAUUGCUACCUGCAUUAACCAAUGUCUGUUUCAUUAUUGAGUAAAAUUAAGGCCACAAUGACCAACAUCAGCCAACAGCUUAAAAACAUCUUUGUGGUUGUUAAUUGUUUUCUACACAACUUUUUAAAAAGGUGCAAAGAUUCUACGAAGGCAACAUGAUUGUGAUCCAGUGGAUGUAAAUCUUUGAACCUGAGAAAGAUGAUCAUUGCAAAUUGUUAAUAUUUUGUCUAAAGAUUUACAUUUUUGUAUUUAGUACUGCUACAAGAUUAGUUGUUUGAUUUAUCGAUUGAUUGUUUGAUUGAUUGAUUUAAUGUGAAAUGGCUUAU